rfam:Lachnoclostridium sp. An169 An169_contig_2, whole genome shotgun sequence.
AUUGAUCUUCGGGGUCGGGUGCAAGUCCCAACCGGCGGUAUAGUCCGCGACCCGCUGUUUCAGCGGCUGAACCGGUGACUUUCUUCAGAAGGAAUUCCGGUACCGACAGUAUAGUCUGGAUGAGAGAAGAGAUUC